AGAAAAUGAGCCAGCCCAAGCCCUACCAGUCCUCGAGCCCAGAGAGGAUGAUUUAGAUUCCUGGGACCUGGAGAAGGAGUCUCCGGUAGCAUCGUGGAGCGGUCCAGUCUUGCAGGAUCCUGAUGGGGACGAACUGUCAGAGAGCUCCCUGAGUACUUCAGAGCUAGGAGCCAUCAAGAAGCAUAAAGGCGAAAAGACUUGUGGACCAAAGCACCUGUACAGGGACAAAGACACCGUUCAAACCAGCAGUGCAAGCUCCUAUCACCUCUGGCUCUAUGCAAAAUGUCCGUGUUCUGCGUAUAAAUAAGUUUUGGGAUCACCAAGCUGCCUGGCUCACUGUGCUGAUAGUGGAAUGAAGAUUAUCCCUCGGGCUGUAAGCUGCAGCUUUCUGCCCACUGUCAUGUCAAAUCUCUAUGGCAAGGAGAAUAAAAGCAAAGGCUUCCCAGGUAUGUGGUGAGCCUGAAGCUGGUGUGUGACAACUGGCAUCUGUGAAAAUGAUUGUGUUUGUUACAACAGACAUGAGUGGUGCAGGAUGCCAUGCAGUGAGACAUGGCUGCAACUUUACUGACCUCUCAAGAAAUAAAUGUGCCCAUGGAAAACUUU
rnacentral:lncRNA from 1 species